CGCCGCGGUUUGGGGGAGGAGUCCGGGGCUGGUACGAAGUUCCGCGAGACCUUUGAACAGUUUUGGCGUCCGAGGUGAAGAGCGAAAGUGAAUAGAGGGUUUCUGAAAACGAGCUAAACUCAAGGGGCCAAGGGAAGGAGGACGUGGGGCUCUCAGUGGGGCAGGGAGCCAGGCACUCCCGGUGCUAACAACAUUGAACUGUUCCCCAAAUUUGCACGUCCCGGAGUGAGUUGGAUUCUUCAGAUGAUGCGUGGCACUUCAUACAUGAUCACAAGUCUGGGUCUUGCAGCAGAAGAUUGCACUUUAGAUCCUGAAUGACAGACCUGUAAGGACUGAGCAGACCUUUGACUGACAAGAUGGGAUGCUCAGUGAGACCAUGGCAGCCUGCAACUAGGACUUUAUCUUUAAUUCAGGUGGUGGUCCUGUGGUAGCUAGUGCUUUUGGUUAAAAUUUUUAAAAUCUCUUUUUUAAGUGACAGGAAUUCCAAAUUGUUGUUUUUGCUUUGUUUUAAGUGGGUCAGUGAGGAUGAACAGAUGAAAUACUCAGACUGGGUCCUACACCCUCCUUGCCAUCAAGCACCCACUUAUUUGAAUAUAGAGAUUUCCCAGGGGCCACAGACAUUUCCAGCAACCUUGUUCCCAGUUAAUUGAGAAAAUUCAAGCCAUCAUGCAGCACAUUCCUUAACUUCCUGCCCACCCAUUUCCCUUACCACCGCAUUUAUCUGCCUCUCUCUUAUUGAUCUCAGAAGAUGAAUAGUGCCUACUCCUCCUGUGCUAUUAAUCAGUGCCUCUUUCUAGACCUCUCUGCUACAUUUUACACCAUUAAUCAGACCCUUCUUGAAACCUAAGUCCCUUUGCUUCUCUCCUGUGUCUUCUGCCUAUCUCGUGCUUCUUAGGGGGCUCUUUCUCUGCCUGCCCUUUAUACAGUGUAAGUUUCAACCUUGAUUUUUCUUUUUUUUUGCAUAAAUCUUCUCCUUCAGAGUAUCAUCCAUUCUCAUUGUUUUAAUCUAUUUGCUUAAGGAUCCAAAAACUACUGCUAUCCCUGACUUCUUCCUUGAGAUUCAGAUUUUUAUUUCCUUGCCUCCUAGAUAGAUGCAUUUGGGAGGGCUCAUGAGCCAUUCAAAUUCUAAUUUAUCCCUUUCUUUUUUUUCAACUGCCCAAUCUAUCUCACUGUUGCUUCGGGCCUUACAACCCUCACCUGCAUCCCCCACUUUGUCUUCUAAGUAGCAGCCGUAAUGAUCAGUCUUAAAUGUAAAUCUGACUAUUUCACUGGUCUGGUUAAACUUCUACAACCCCUCCCACCAUCACCUCCAAGACAAAGUCCAACUCCAUAACCUGCACCCUGGGACCUCCAUGAUCUUGCCACUGUUUAUGUUUCCACUGUCAUCUCCCAUCACACCCACUGCCCAUUCAUGAGGCUGUUUUAUACUUUGAGACCUUUUCUUAUUCUUGUUGACUCCGUCUGGACUGUCUUGAUUUUCUUUGCCUGAUCCCUACUUUCUUUACUUACUUUUCAGAUGUCUUCUAAGAAGCCUUUCCCUAAUCCACAGUCUGAACUAGUUGACUUUCCUUCUGACUUUCUAGGUAUAGAUUUAUUCAUUCAAAAAAUAUUUAUUGAGCCUCUUAUUUUAUGCCAGACACUAAGCUAGGUACUGGAAGUAUAAUAAUGAACAAGCAUAUGUGAUAAUAAUCUAAUAAUUGACCUAACAGAGCUUAUACUCUCAUAGGGAAGGGAGACAAGUAAUUAAAAAAAAAAAAAAAAUUGUGGUUUAGUCUGAGUGGCUCCAUGCAGGAGACUAGCUAGAAAUUGGCCAAGUUAAAGGGUGGAGGGCAAGAGAGGUAACAACCGUGAAGGCCCAGACAUGAGAGGAGAGCACAGCCUAGGAACAGAGAUUCUAGACACAGGGCUGGGAGGUAAAGAGGCACCAGAUCAUGAAGAGUAUUACUAGUCAUGUUAAGGCGUUUGGACUUCUUCUUAAAAGUAAUAAGACGUUUAAAGGGUUUCAACAAGAUUAGGUUUGUAUUUAGGUGAUGACUAGCUGCUGUGAGAAAAUAGAAUUGAAGAGUGGCAAGACUGAAGGAAGGAAAACCAGUUACGACCUCAUUGUAGUAAUCCAGGGGAAAGAAGAUGGCAGCCUAUACUAGGGUAUUGCCAGCAUGGAUGGAAAUAGAUCCCACUGGAAUUCAGGAAGUAGAAGUGGCAGGACUUGAUGACUGAAUGGGGCUGGCAGAGGUGAGAGAAGUCAAGAAUGAGUUCCAUAAACAAGUUUUAGUGAGGACCCUAUUUGCUAUCAUAUGUUCAUGGUCUAGACGUCAUUAGACAUUGUAGAUGCUUGAUAAAUAUCUGCUGAGUGAGAGUUUUCUGGCUUGAGCCCCUAGAUAAAUGGGAUGCCAUUCUCUGAUUUAGGAAAUAUAGAGGUGAACUCAUUUUGGGAGGUGACUGGUGAUUGAGUUUUGGACAUGUCUAGCUCAAGAUGCCUGUGGAAGAUACACAUGAAAAUGAUAGAUACAAUGCAAUUGGGAGAGAUCUCACGUGUAUUCUUUGUAUACUGAAAAAAAUAAAAGUUUAUACUUUA